rnacentral:rRNA from 1 species
AGCAGCCGCGGUAAUUCCAGCUCCAAUAGCGUAUAUUAAAGUUGUUGCAGUUAAAAAGCUCGUAGUUGAAUUUCGGGGUCUGUCCAUUGGUCGGGCUUCACGGUCCGUACUGGUGUGAUGGGUUCCUACCUUCUGAAUAACCAGCAUGCCAUUUAGUUGGUGCGCCGGGGAAGCAGAGCUAUUACCUUGAAAAAUUAGAGUGCUUAAAGCAGGCUAGUGCUUGAAUAGAUUAGCAUGGAAUAAUAAAAUAGGACGGCAUGGUUCUAUUUUGUUGGUUUCUAGGAUCACCGUAAUGAUUAAUAGGGAUAGUUGGGGGCAUUAGUAUUCAAUUGUCAGAGGUGAAAUUCUUGGAUUUAUUGAAGACUAACUUCUGCGAAAGCAUUUGCCAAGGAUGUUUUCAUUAAUCAAGAACGAAAGUUAGGGGAUCGAAGACGAUCAGAUACCGUCGUAGUCUUAACCAUAAACUAUGCUGACUAGGGAUCGGACGAUGUUAAUUUUUAAUGACUCGUUCGGCG